AAUACAUGCAAGUCGAGGGGUAGAACACUUCGGUGUUUGAGACCGGCGCACGGGUGCGUAACGCGUAUGCAAUCUACCUUAUACAGGGGAAUAGCCCAGAGAAAUUUGGAUUAAUGCCCCAUAGUGUUAUAGAAUCGCAUGGUUUUAUAACUAAAGUUCCAACGGUAUAAGAUAAGCAUGCGUCCCAUUAGUUAGUUGGUAAGGUAACGGCUUACCAAGACAAUGAUGGGUAGGGGUCCUGAGAGGGAGAUCCCCCACACUGGUACUGAGACACGGACCAGACUCCUACGGGAGGCAGCAGUGAGGAAUAUUGGUCAAUGGGCGCAAGCCUGAACCAGCCAUGCCGCGUGCAGGAAGAAGCAUCUAUGGUGUGUAAACUGCUUUUAUACAGGAAGAAACACCUCCACGUGUGGAGGCUUGACGGUACUGUAGGAAUAAGGAUCGGCUAACUCCGUGCCAGCAGCCGCGGUAAUACGGAGGAUCCAAGCGUUAUCCGGAAUCAUUGGGUUUAAAGGGUCCGUAGGCGGUCUUAUAAGUCAGUGGUGAAAGCCCAUCGCUCAACGAUGGAACUGCCAUUGAUACUGUAAGACUUGAGUUUUUGUGAAGUAACUAGAAUAUGUAGUGUAGCGGUGAAAUGCUUAGAUAUUACAUGGAAUACCAAUCGCGAAGGCAGGUUACUAACAAACGAUUGACGCUGAUGGACGAAAGCGUGGGGAGCGAACAGGAUUAGAUACCCUGGUAGUCCACGCCGUAAACGAUGGAUACUAGCUGUUGGGAGCAAUCUCAGUGGCUAAGCGAAAGUGAUAAGUAUCCCACCUGGGGAGUACGCACGCAAGUGUGAAACUCAAAGGAAUUGACGGGGGCCCGCACAAGCGGUGGAGCAUGUGGUCUAAUUCGAUGAUACGCGAGGAACCUUACCAAGGCUUAAAUGUAGAUUGACAGGACUGGAAACAGUUUUUUCUUCGGACAAUUUACAAGGUGCUGCAUGGUUGUCGUCAGCUCGUGCCGUGAGGUGUCAGGUUAAGUCCUAUAACGAGCGCAACCCCUGUUGUUAGUUGCCAGCGAGUCAUGUCGGGAACUCUAACAAGACUGCCAGUGUAAACUGUGAGGAAGGUGGGGAUGACGUCAAAUCAUCACGGCCCUUACGCCUUGGGCCACACACGUGCUACAAUGGGCGGUACAGAGAGCAGCCACUACGUGAGUAGGAGCGGAUCUAUAAAACCGUUCUCAGUUCGGAUCGGAGUCUGCAACUCGACUCCGUGAAGCUGGAAUCGCUAGUAAUCGGAUAUCAGCCAUGAUCCGGUGAAUACGUUCCCGGGCCUUGUACACACCGCCCGUCAAGCCAUGGAAGCUGGGGGUGCCUGAAGAUGGUGAC
rnacentral:rRNA from 1 species